AUUUGGUUCUGCUGCUGCCCCCGCAUUAACUGCACUUUUGAAGAUGGGUUCUUGGCUCCCACCUGAAGAAUUUAGCGCCAAGAUACUACCAACAGUUGUUAAACUUUUUGCCUCAAAUGACCGGGCUAUUCGAGUUGGUCUCCUGUAGCAUGCUGAUCAACUUGGAGAGUCACUGUCAGCCCAAAUUGUUGAUGAGCAAGUUUACCCUCAUGUUGCUACAGGGUUCUCUGAUACUUCUGCUUUUCUUCGG